rnacentral:rRNA from 1 species
UUUUAAAUGGCCGCAGUAUUUUGACUGUGCAAAGGUAGCAUAAUCAUUAGUUUUUUAAUUAAAAGCUUGUAUGAAAGGCUGGACGAGGUAAAAUCUGUCUCUAUUUAAAUUAUAGUAGAAUUUAACUUUUAAGUUAAAAGGCUUAAAUAUUAUUAAAAGACGAGAAGACCCUAUAGAUCUUUAUAGUUUGUUAAAUUAAAUUAAUUUAGAAAUAUUAAUGUUUUAUUUAAUUAAAUUAUUUUAUUGGGGUAAUAAAAAGAUUGAAUUAAUUCUUUUUUAUAAUAAACAUUAAUUUAUGAAUAUUAAUGAUCCAGUUUUACUGAUUAUAAGAUUAAGUUACCUUAGGGAUAACAGCGUAAUUUUUUUAGAGAGUUCAUAUCGAUAAAAAAGUUUGCGACCUCGAUGUUGGAUUAAAGAUUAUUUUAGGUGUAGAAGCUUAAUAAUUUUGGUCUGUUCGACCAUUAAAUCUUUACAUGAUCUGAGUUCAGACCGGCGUAAGCCAGGUCGGUUUCUAUCUUUAAUAAAAUAAAAUAUUUUAGUACGAAAGGACCAAAUAUUUGAUAUAUUUAUAUUUAAUUUAUUGAAUAUUA